GAAAGCAUCCAGGUGGGCAACAAGGAAAGGCUCCUGUGGGAACAUCAGCCAGGUACUUGGAGCAGGAGUGGCAGAAGUGUUUGGGAACUCAUUCCUCUGGCACUGGCAGGAGGAGGAGGCCGAGCAGCCGGAGGGAUUUCUGUGGGAAAGGUUUAGGCACACCAGACUGUACAGAUGGCCAGAGCCAGAGUCUCUCAGGAAGAGACCAUGGCAUAUGUUGUGGCUCGUGUCUUCAAACUUCUGCCCUGGUAAGAGAAAGGAAGGGAAAGAUAUCGACACUGUGGCACAGAAAGGUGGAUGGCAAAACAUGUGAGGACUUGGGAGCCGGCAGAUAUGAAAUCUGGCAUCAUCUUCACUGGAAAAGAGGGAUCCAGGCCAUGUCAUUUGUUGGAGGUCGUGUUGGUGUGGACAACCUUAAAUUCAAGUUCUCCUUUAAUGUGCAAAACAGUUGAAGGCAGAGAGAUAUAAAGCUGCAGCAUAAGGGGACUCUAAGGGUUGUUUGGAAUAGAUCUGUGCAUUUUAUGUUCUCAGAUAAAUUCCUUGCCUCCGAGUACAUUACGGAGAAGAUCCAACUGCAGGAAGCUGAGAACAGGGAUAA